UAUUCCAAUAGAGUAGGUCCUGAAAUAUU
rnacentral:sRNA from 1 species